rnacentral:rRNA from 1 species
UGGGGAAUUUUGGACAAUGGACGCAAGUCUGAUCCAGCCAUGCCGCGUGCGGGAAGAAGGCCUUCGGGCUGUAAACCGCUUUUGUCAGGGAAGAAACGAGUUUCUCUAAUACAGAGACUUAAUGACGGUACCUGGAGAAUAAGCACCGGCUAACUACGUGCCAGCAGCCGCGGUAAUACGUAGGGUGCAAGCGUUAAUCGGAAUUACUGGGCGUAAAGCGUGCGCAGGCGGUUAUGUAAGACAGAUGUGAAAUCCCCGGGCUCAACCUGGGAACUGCAUUUGUGACUGUAUAGCUAGAGUACGGCAGAGGGGGAUGGAAUUCCGCGUGUAGCAGUGAAAUGCGUAGAUAUGCGGAGGAACACCGAUGGCGAAGGCAAUCCCCUGGGCCUGUACUGACGCUCAUGCACGAAAGCGUGGGGAGCAAACA